rnacentral:rRNA from 1 species
AGAGUUUGAUCAUGGCUCAGGACGAACGCUGGCGGCGUGCCUAACACAUGCAAGUCGAGCGGGGACUUCGGUCCUAGCGGCGGACGGGUGAGUAACACGUGGGUAACCUGCCUUGUAGAGGGGGAUAGCCUUCCGAAAGGAAGAUUAAUACCGCAUAACAUUAUUUAUUCGCAUGAAUGAAUAAUUAAAGGAGCAAUCCG